rnacentral:rRNA from 1 species
GAUGAACGCUGACAGAAUGCUUAACACAUGCAAGUCGAUUCGAUUUACCUUCGGGUGUUGAGGAUGGCGGAAGGGUGAGUAACGCGUAAGGAACUUGCCUCUUGGUCUGGGACAACUGUUGGAAACAACAGCUAAUACCGGAUAUGAUGAGAUUCUCGCGUGGGAAACUUAUGAACGCUAGAUGCGCCAAGAGGGAGCCUGGCGUUCCAUUAGCUAGUUGGUGGGGUAACGGCCCACCAAGGCGACGAUGGAUAGCCGGCCUGAGAGGGUGAACGGCCACAAGGGGACUGAGACACGGCCCUUACUCCUACGGGAGGCAGCAGUGGGGAAUAUUGGACAAUGGACCAAAAGUCUGAUCCAGCAAUUCUGUGUGCACGAUGAAGGUCUUCGGAUUGUAAAGUGCUUUCAGUUGGGAAGAAGCAAGUGACGGUACCAACAGAAGAAGCGACGGCUAAAUACGUGCCAGCAGCCGCCGUAA